rnacentral:rRNA from 1 species
AUGCAUCGCGGGAAGAGAGAGUUUCAGGUUCUUGACUCGUUGAUGAACGGAAAACUUGACAGUGUUAUUAGAGAACUCGUUGAGGACCUGAGAAAACAACUAGCAGAAGAUAUCCAAAAAGCAAAUGCAACCGGAAUUGUGAAUUAUCCGGAUGUUUCCAAUUGGCCUAUUGAAACGUAUGACAUGCCAAAACAACAUGAUGGGAAUUCGUGUGGAAUAUUUCUCCUUCGAUGCUUUCAAUAUUGGGAUGAUGACAAAUGGACAGGCUUAUUUUCACAGAGGUCAAUUGAUGAUUCGAGUGAGGUAAUGAUUGCGCAACUUAUCUUUUCGGAAAGAAACAAGCUUGAUGAAGUGAAAAACAAAGUUAUUCGAAUAUCAAAGAAGAAGAAAUAG